CAAAUGUGUCAAGAAAGGUCAUAAAAUGGGGUAAAACUCACCUAACAACAAAUGUCUUGCUUAGCAACAGAAAUUUUGGGCUCAAUUGUGCUCGUAAGUCAAGGACUACCUGUACUUAUUUGAAAUUGCUAUUCUUAUAAUUUGAACCCGUUGAUAUACUUUGUUAUAAAUAAGAACAAAGGUACCUCACUUAGAGAUAUGAGAUUGUUACAUUACAGAUAAAGUGCAACAAAAGAUACUUUGGAGAUAUGAGUCUAUAUAUAUCCUAUUAAAAUAUUAUUUUCAUUAAUUGAUAGAUUAAAUUAAAAUGGAAGCUGUCAUGCUGCAAAGUAAUUAAUCAGCAUUAUUAUUAUCUUUCUUUACCAAAAUGCCUCUGAACCAAAAGAACUUGGUUGGAGCACAUACAAAAUAGAACCUAGAACCACAAAGAGUCCAUAGUACCUUUUCCAGCAUACACUUUGAUCAAUCAUGCAACUUACAAUCUCUUUAUACUGUGUACAGUCAGAGGCUCUAGUUAAGUUGCAGCACAUCAGAUUUGUCGCAAGUAUCAUUUUGCUAGAUAAACUUUAUAUUUUUCUAAUCAAAAAUAUUUCUGUGUUACUGUUCCUGGCAAAAUCUCCUUAAUGCAGUGAAUAAAACACGGGUGUCAAACUUGCUGCAUCACAUUGCCGUGACAUGAUGUUUCAUGACAUUUUUCCCACUCGCGGAGCUGGGGUGAGCGUGUCCUUUGCCUAACACAUC